GACGAACGCUGGCGGCGUGCUUAACACAUGCAAGUCGAACGGAAAGGCCCUGCUUUUGUGGGGUGCUCGAGUGGCGAACGGGUGAGUAACACGUGAGUAACCUGCCCUUGACUUUGGGAUAACUUCAGGAAACUGGGGCUAAUACCGGAUAGGAGCUCCUGCUGCAUGGUGGGGGUUGGAAAGUUUCGGCGGUUGGGGAUGGACUCGCGGCUUAUCAGCUUGUUGGUGGGGUAGUGGCUUACCAAGGCUUUGACGGGUAGCCGGCCUGAGAGGGUGACCGGCCAAAAUGGGACUGAGGUGCGGCCCCGGAUCCUAAGGGGGGGAAGAGUGGGGAAUAAUGGACAAUGGGCGGAAGCCUGAUGCAGGCACGCCGGGGGGGGGGAGAAGGCCUUCGGGUUGUAAACCGCUUUUCGCUGUGACGAAGGGGUGGUGGCGGUAAUGGGUAAAGAAGCACCGGCUAACUACGUG
rnacentral:rRNA from 1 species